AGUGAACGCUGGCGGUAGGCCUAACACAUGCAAGUCGAACGGCAGCACAGUAAGAGCUUGCUCUUACGGGUGGCGAGUGGCGGACGGGUGAGGAAUAUAUCGGAAUCUACUUUUUCGUGGGGGAUAACGUAGGGAAACUUACGCUAAUACCGCAUACGUCCUACGGGUGAAAGCAGGGGAUCUUCGGACUUUGUGCGAUUGUAUGAGCCGAUGUCGGAUUAGCUAGUUGGCUGGGUAAAGGCCCACCAAGGCGACGAUCCGUAGCGGGUCUGAGAGGGUGAUCAGCCACACUGGAACUGAGACACGGUCCAGACUCCUACGGGAGGCAGCAGUGGGGAAUAUUGGACAAUGGGCGCAAGCCUGAUCCAGCCAUACCGCGUGGGUGAAGAAGGCCUUCGGGUUGUAAAGCCCUUUUGUUGGGAAAGAAAAGCAGCAGGUUAAUACCCCGCUAUUCUGACGGUACCCAAAGAAUAAGCACCGGCUAACUUCGUG
rnacentral:rRNA from 1 species